CACCGUCUCCACGCCCAACCGCCCACUCCCGUCCCGGUGCCCAAUACCUCCCGGCGCCGCAACCCCACCCCACUCCCCCGCCGGCCCCGUGCGCCGUCGCUCUCCUCCCUGCGCCGCUCGCCUCCACAGCCCAGCUCCCGUCCCGGUGCCCAGUCCCUCCUGGCGCCGCACCCCCUCCGCGCCGUCACUCUCCUCCCAGUGCCGCUCGCCUCCACCGCCCAGCUCCCGUCCCGGCGCUGCACCCUCCCCGCGCCGUUGCUCUCCUCCCGGCGGCGCUCGCCUCCUCCGACGGUGCUCCCCCCCACCACGGCCAUUUUUCUCGGCCAGCCCCCAAUCCCUCCCAGCGCUGCACCAACCUCCCGUGCCGUCUCUCUCCUCCCGGCGCCGCUCGCCUUCUCCGCCGGGGAUGGGGGGAGUGCACUUCCCCGGCGACAACGGCGCCGCCGAGGUCGACGUGGCCUGCGACGGGGAGAUCGACCGCCGCAACGUGGGCAAGAUGGAGCACGGGUGCGAACAUUACCGGCGGAGGUGUAAGAUCGUGGCCUGCAAUCAGGUGCUCCCCUGUCGCCACUGCCACAACAAGGCCAUGGUGAGCUCGUACUCGUCCCCCUCCCCCGGAGACCACUGUUGUGCUGCUAUGGCGUUCAUGCAGAGUAGUAUAGCAGGAAACUUAUCUGCAUAGGCGCCUUGGUUGCUCAAAUCGAGUAGCUGGUGCACUCCCGUCAUCUACUUAUACGUGAGCCAAGUGGAACAUUUAGGCAUGCUUCUUAGUGGCUCGUGAGAACCUGUUGAGUUGAAAUUGAAUUGUUAGUUUCUGUACGCUUAUGUUUAGUCUUAGAUCUCAAUUGUUUUCAUCCCUGUCUAACAGUAAAGCAGGCUACUUGUCUAGACUUCCAAGUGCUAACCGAUUUGCUAGUGCACUACCAUGUACUUCUGUUUCAACCAAGGGGGGAAAUUUAUGCAUAGUUCUCAAUUUUCUGUGACAAUGUGACAAGCUGUAACUGUAUUGGUAUGCUGGUCAGUCUUAUGUCUUGAUUGUCUUCAUUUUUACCGUCCUGUUGGGUUGAAUCUUAAGCAAGAUAAUUCAUUGUGUAGAAUUCAGUGGAGCUCAUGUCUUGGACCAUAUAAUUUAUAUAACAUGAAAGAUAAGUCAUUGUUGAACAUGCUCUAUCGGGCUGCUGAGUGCCAGGACCAAGCACUUUAUUACCACUAAUUGUUUUUCUGUCAAGUGUUGGUGGGGGAAUACAUGUUCAGAUAACUAGAGUGUUAUGUCCUUUUAAAAAACUAGAUUGAUGACUUUAUUUGUUUCUGUAUGUAUAUCUGUUAGGAAUUCAGAUACACAAUAUGAUUUUGUUCUUAGAUGGAAAUGAUUUUGUUUAUAUAUGAGUGCUCAAAUGUGAGCUUACGUUCCUGAAUUUCUUUCUGAAAUCCUCCAUUGAACACACUCGAGCUAUUGGCAGUAUGUUCUGAAGCCUCAACCUCUACUGGCUCUGACUGAACACAGCCUGCAGAGCAACCUUUGUCAAGAUGCUGAUCCUCAGACCAGCUUUCCAGCAAAACUCACUGACAGUCUUGUAAAGCUGCCUGCUAAUUCAUUCUAGCCCUAUUGUCAUCAAUCUGUCUUCAGCUCCCAUUCAUUUUGUUUUGGCUCAUGCAUUAGAUGUGCUCUGCAAACUGCUCUCUUCUUGGGAUUAAUUUAUAUAGAUUAAUAGUUUAAGAUUUGCAGUAAAGGCUGGAUCAGAUUGACAAUUCCAUUAUUUGCUAAAUAAACUAGCCUUUGCUACAAGAUCACAUUGGAGCAGAUUGGCGAGAACAAAAAUGCUUCAUCCCGGCGCAUAUCGGCAUCCGCGACCCGCGCGCCUUCCCGAUCUGCGUGCUCACCACCGCCUCCCGCCUCCCACCGCGGGGAGCGGCGGCGGCGCCCCCCCCCCCCCCCUCCCUCCCCUUCAUAUGCGGCGGCACAGGGGUACACGGCCGCGGCCGGAGCAGCGGAGCAGGUGCGCGAAGCGGCGGCGGGGGCGGAGCACCGUCGUGCGGCAGGCGCGGCUUCUAGAAUUUCUGUUGUCCUUUUUAUCUGGCUAGUGAAGGAGAAUUUUUUCAGCUAGGUCUGUACUAUAUUCUAGAAUUUCUAGCAAAUCUACUUCAUAAUUCAUUCUUUUUAUGUGUCGUAUGGUCCCUUUCGAUAUGGGAGUGCAGUACACAGUUAAUUGAAUAGAACAUACUGACAAAGGAUAUGGUGUAUUUAAUCAGAGUUCUGCCUAAUUCAAAUAGAUUAUACUUACAAUUUGCUCUAUUAUUUUAACUGGAGUUCAAUGUGCUUUUCUAAUUUGAUCAUUCCUGUUAAUUUUGACUUGGUAUUUUUUUUGGCAUGAUGUUGCGUUACUCUCUGAACUGCUGGAGAAAAGUUUGUCAGUGCAUUUGGUAAACUGACUCUGGGUCUAGCCAUACUAGUUCUUUGGUUAUUCAAAUCAUAAUUUAACAUUGUAUUCUAGAAGUAUAAUACACUUCCUAUUUUACAAUACAAUUGUUGCAUCUACGCCUUAGAGUCAAUUGUCUCGUUAUAUUUUAAGAAUCUGCAAUAUGUUGUUCAUAAUUAUCUUGUCUAUAUAAGUUUACAUGAGUGUUGGUUGCAUUUUGCUAAAUUUUUACAUUUAGCUUGUGCACUAUAAUUGAACCCCCCUGAAAGAUCAUUGUUGGACUUUCUGCAGUUGUUUACCUGUAGUUCUGCUCCCUCCUCGUGUGCAACAAUGGUGACUGAUGCAUUAGAGAGCAGGGACCUCCUUUAGUUCAUGGAUAAGAUCAGAUCAGUCCAAGUGACAUGAAAAUCUGCAUUAGCCCUGGUAAGGUCCUGCCGACACGUGCUGGCGCUAAUUUCACGAAGUUCCACACAUAUUUCCGGUGAAAAAGUACGGGUUAUUGUUUCAACCAUAGUCUGCAGCUGAACAGAAUAAGCUUAGUUUAAGCAAAAUGUUGGGGGUUUUCUUUUGGUCUCAAAAAGGACAAAAUGAUUGUGUAUUUGGAACUAAUCUUGCAUGUGGUAUGAAAUUUGGGUUCACCGACACUGUAGCUAUAGUGUUUUGAUCUUUUUUUAUGCCUUUCUUCCAUGAUUUUUCUUAAAAAUACACUGGUGCUGCUGCAAUUCGGAGGGAAGAUUUAUGAUGGGUGGACAAUCAAGGAAAAGCGAGCCAGUGAACUUAGAAAUGGCUGCAAGCAUACGAACCUAAGAUCCAGCUGGUCGAUGCAAACUACAGGGCUGUUCCCAGUGAAGUUCUCCUUGGCAUCUCAUGGAUCUGAGGUGGCCAAAAAUGAUCUCCAUUUACAGUGCCAUCUUUGAUUGGGGCCCAUCAUCACGAUUAGGUGUUCAGGGACAAUUCCCCUUGUUAAUCAGCUGAUGGAUUUUUUGCAGGAGCAUCUAUUGUACAGUAGGUAGAUUCUGAGUUUCAUGUGAGGAUUGCAUAUUUAGAGCUUCUGUGUAUAGGUUCUUACGAAAAUGUAAGUUCAGAGUGUCAGAUAACAGAAAUAUGACUCCAUCUUCUAUGUUUAUGAUAUUUAUGAACCGGCUCAGAACAAUGUGUGGUGUUUGCAAGGUAAUGAGAUUUUGCAUCGACAUAUUUUGUUA